rnacentral:rRNA from 1 species
CCUACGGGUGGCAGCAGUGGGGAAUAUUGGGCAAUGGGCGCAAGCCUGACCCAGCAACGCCGCGUGAAGGAAGAAGGCUCUCGGGAUGUAAACUUCUUUUAGCAGGGACGCAGCAAGUGACGGUACUUGCUGAAUAAGCCACGGCCAAAUACGAGCCAACAGCCGCGGUAAUACGCAGGGGGAAAGCGUUAUCCGGAUUUACUGGGUUUAAAGGGCGUGUAGGCGGGAAAGCAAGUCAGAUGUGAAAACCAUGGGCUCAACCUGUGGCCUGCAUUUGAAACUGUUUUUCUUGAGUACUGGAGAGGCAGACGGAAUGCGUGGUGUAGCGGUGAAAUGCGUAGAUAUUAGGAGGAACACCAGUGGCGAAGGCGGUCUGCUGGACAGCAACUGACGCUGAGGCGCGAAAGCGUGGGGAGCAAACAGGAUUAGAUACCCUUGUAGUC